rnacentral:rRNA from 1 species
GAUGAACGCUAGCUACAGGCUUAACACAUGCAAGUCGAGGGGCAGCGUGAGGGUUAGCAAUAACUCUUGACGGCGACCGGCGCAAGGGUGCGUAACGCGUGAGCAACUUGCCCUUAUCAGGGGGAUAACCGGUGGAAACGCCGACUAAUACCCCAUGGCAUCACAGCACCGCAUGGUACGGUGUGAAAAACUCCGGUGGUAUGAGAUGGACCCGCGUCUGAUUAGCUAGUUGGUGGGGUAACGGCCUACCAAGGCGACGAUCAGUAGCCGACCUGAGAGGGUGACCGGCCACAUUGGGACUGAGACACGGCCCAAAUCCUACGGGAGGCAGCAGU